rnacentral:rRNA from 1 species
UACAGAGGUCUCAAGCGUUGUUCGGAUUCAUUGGGCGUAAAGGGUGCGUAGGCGGCGCGGUAAGUCGGGUGUGAAAUCUCGGAGCUUAACUCCGAAACUGCAUUCGAUACUGCCGUGCUUGAGGACUGGAGAGGAGACUGGAAUUUACGGUGUAGCGGUGAAAUGCGUAGAUAUCGUAAGGGAAGACCAGUGGCGAAGGC